AGUGAACGCUGGCGGUAGGCCUAACACAUGCAAGUCGAACGGCAGCACAGGAGAGCUUGCUCUCUGGGUGGCGAGUGGCGGACGGGUGAGGAAUACAUCGGAAUCUACUUUUUCGUGGGGGAUAACGUAGGGAAACUUACGCUAAUACCGCAUACGACCUACGGGUGAAAGCAGGGGAUCUUCGGACCUUGCGCGGUUGAAUGAGCCGAUGUCGGAUUAGCUAGUUGGCGGGGUAAAGGCCCACCAAGGCGACGAUCCGUAGCUGGUCUGAGAGGAUGAUCAGCCACACUGGAACUGAGACACGGUCCAGACUCCUACGGGAGGCAGCAGUGGGGAAUAUUGGACAAUGGGCGCAAGCCUGGUCCAGCCAUACCGCGUGGGUGAAGAAGGCCUUCGGGUUGUAAAGCCCUUUUGUUGGGAAAGAAAUCCAGCUGAUUAAUACCCGGUUGGGAUGACGGUACCCAAAGAAUAAGCACCGGCUAACUUCGUGCCAGCCGCCGCCGUAA
rnacentral:rRNA from 1 species